rnacentral:rRNA from 1 species
GGGGAGCGUUCUGUAAGCCUGUGAAGGUGGCCUGUGAGGGUUGCUGGAGGUAUCAGAAGUGCGAAUGCUGACAUAAGUAACGAUAAAGCGGGUGAAAAGCCCGCUCGCCGGAAGACCAAGGGUUCCUGUCCAACGUUAAUCGGGGCAGGGUGAGUCGACCCCUAAGGCGAGGCCGAAAGGCGUAGUCGAUGGGAAACGGGUUAAUAUUCCCGUACUUGGUGUUACUGCGAAGGGGGGACGGAGAAGGCUAUGUUGGCCGGGCGACGGUUGUCCCGGUUUAAGCGUGUAGGUGUGUGUUCCAGGUAAAUCCGGUUCACUUUAACACUGAGGCGUGACGACGAGGCACUACGGUGCUGAAGCAACAAAUGCCCUGCUUCCAGGAAAAGCCUCUAAGCAUCAGGUAACAUCAAAUCGUACCCCAAACCGACACAGGUGGUCAGGUAGAGAAUACCAAGGCGCUUGAGAGAACUCGGGUGAAGGAACUAGGCAAAAUGGUGCCGUAACUUCGGGAGAAGGCACGCUGACACGUAGGUGAAGUGAUUUACUCAUGGAGCUGAAGUCAGUCGAAGAUACCAGCUGGCUGCAACUGUUUAUUAAAAACACAGCACUGUGCAAACACGAAAGUGGACGUAUACGGUGUGACGCCUGCCCGGUGCCGGAAGGUUAAUUGAUGGGGUCAGCGCAAGCGAAGCUCCUGAUCGAAGCCCCGGUAAACGGCGGCCGUAACUAUAACGGUCCUAAGGUAGCGAAAUUCCUUGUCGGGUAAGUUCCGACCUGCACGAAUGGCGUAAUGAUGGCCAGGCUGUCUCCACCCGAGACUCAGUGAAAUUGAACUCGCUGUGAAGAUGCAGUGUACCCGCGGCAAGACGGAAAGACCCCGUGAACCUUUACUAUAGCUUGACACUGAACAUUGAGCCUUGAUGUGUAG